AUGAUACGUCGGCUUCUCAAUGUGGUGGUGAAGAAUACUUCCACAGGCGUCCACUCGGUGCGGCGAAUCGACCCGUACAAGCAUCUCUUCUACGAAUCGGGAGGUGAGCCAGCAGCAUCGAUCGCAAACAAGGCCAAGGAUUGUGCUCUGGAAAUGCAAACCCUUUCUCUUCCCGAGCCAUCGGUGAGCUUCUCUCCAUCCCCGACCACUCUGCCGCUCAUGGGCGGCAUGGAUUUGUUCGCGCCCAUGGGCGGCGGCGAAGGCAGGAUCGUAGGCGCCAACGUGGCCGGCGAAAGCGUGCUGUACGAUGCCGACGAGCGCCUCUUCCUUCUUCUGCCCUGGAUCAACGAGCCCAAGGGGUGGAACCCCGUGUGUCUCUCCAUCCCCAUACCCGGCGCCGCCGAGAACAGCCUCUACGUCAUGGAGAGGUACCUCGGGCAGUCUAUGGAUGCAUAUGGCUCCAGCGAGGACUACACCGUUUCCUGCUUCGAGGUCCUUGAGCACGGGCCCAGGACCGGCGGCCAUGAGGUGCGCGAAAUGCAUAGAGGCUGGCGCUGGCGGGUUCUUCGGCCGCCUCCAUUCGUCCUCGAACCAGACUACCAACCCUCCGUCAUCGCCUCCUACACAAGCAUGGUUAACAAGACCAACAGGUGCUCCUUUCAUGUGAGGACACGCGCACUGGCACCUAUUCCUUUGACACAUCGAGGAACGUGGAGCAAUGGAUGCACGUCUGGGAGUGGACUCUGCCCUUUCAUGGGGAAGCCAAGUACAUCCCUGAGUUCAACCUAUGGUUCGGCUUCUCGGCAGACGGCCAUAAACACUUGUGCGCUCUGGACCUUUCUGCCAUGGAGGAGGACAAACAACCACCACCCAUUCUGCAGCACUUUGAGGAUCCGAACCCACCCGAGGAAGAGGGCUGGUGUGCAACGUCUUCUGAACUGGUAUACCUUGGCGAUGGCAAGUUUUGUGUUGCCAAGACUAUUGAGGUCGAUGAAACAUCUGGUGAGGAGUUUGCGGUGCUCACUGGCGUACAGAUUUUGCGCGGCGAUGACAAUGGCCUCCGCAUGA
rnacentral:rRNA from 1 species